GCCUUUGUGGCGUAAUGGCUAACGCGUCUGACUGUGAAUCAGAAGAUUGCGGGUUCGAGUCCCGCCUAAGGUU
rnacentral:tRNA from 2 species